rnacentral:rRNA from 1 species
UACGGGGGGGGCAAGCGUUGUUCGGAAUUACUGGGCGUAAAGGGCUCGUAGGCGGCCAACUAAGUCGGAUGUGAAAUCCCCAAGCUUAACUUGGGAACUGCAUCCGAUACUGGAUGGCUUGAAUCCGGGAGAGGGAUGCAGAAUUCCAGGUGUAGCGGUGAAAUGCGUAGAUAUCUGGAGGAAUACCGGUGGCGAAGGCGGCAUCCUGGACCGGCAUUGACGCUGAUGCGCGAAAGCCAGGGGAGCAAACGGG